AACGAACGCUGGCGGCGUGGAUUAGGCAUGCAAGUCGAGCGAGAAAAGGUCCGCAAGGGCCUGAGUAAAGCGGCGCAAGGGUGAGUAAUGCCUGGAUAACCUACCCCUGAGAGGGGGAUAACGUCUGGAAACGGACGCUAAUACCCCAUAAGACCACGGGCCUACGAGUCCGUGCUUAAAGAUAGCCUCUGUUUACAAGCCUUCGCUCAGGGAGGGGUUCAGGUCCUACUAGCUAGUUGGUGGGAUAAAAGCUUACCAAGCCGACGAUCUGUAGCUGGUCUGAGAGGACGACCAGCCACACUGGGACUGAGACACGGCCCAGACUCCUACGGGAGGCAGCAGUGGGGAAUUUUGGACAAUGGGCGAAAGCCUGAUCCAGCCAUGCCGCGUGCAGGAUGAAGGCCUUCGGGUUGUAAACUGCUUUUGUACGGAACGAAAGACUCCUUCUAAUAAAGGGGUCCAUGACGGUACCGUAAGAAUAAGCACCGGCUAACUACGUGCCAGCAGCCGCGGUAAGCAACG
rnacentral:rRNA from 1 species